rnacentral:rRNA from 1 species
UGGUAUGACUGGUCUCGCUGAUCCCUCCUUUCUGAAGAACUGUAAUGUCAUUAAUUUGGUGUUGCAGGGAAACAGGACUGUUACUUUGAAAAAAUUAGAGUGUUUAAAGCAGGCUAACGCUUGAAUACAUUAGCAUGGAAUAAUGAAAUAGGACGUUCAAACCUAUUUUGUUGGUUUCUAGGAUUGACGUAAUGAUUAAUAGGGAUAGUUGGGGGCAUUAGUAUUCAAUUGUCAGAGGUGAAAUUCUUGGAUUUAUUGAAGACUAACUACUGCGAAAGCAUUUGCCAAGGAUGUUUUCAUUAAUCAAGAACGAAAGUUAGGGGAUCGAAGACGAUCAGAUACCGUCGUAGUCUUAACCAUAAACUAUGCCGACUAGGGAUCGGAUGAUGUUAAUUUUUUAAUGACUCAUUCGGCGCCUUACG